AUUUUCUUUUUAGGGUUCCGUAGCCAAAUGGCAAAAAAACGGAACCCUUAUAGAUUCGUCAUGUCUGUCUGUCUGUCUGUCUGUCUGUCUGUCUGUCUGUCCGUCCGUAUGUCACAGCCACUUUUUUCCGAAACUAUAAGCACUAUACUGUUGAAACUUGGUAAGUAGAUGUAUUCUGUGAACCGCAUUAAGAUAUUCAUACAAAAAUAGAAAAAAAAUAGUAAAUUUUUAGGGUUCCCCAUACAUAGAACUGAACCUCAAAUUUUUUUUUUCAUCAAACCCAUACGUGUGGGGUAUCUAUGGAUAGGUCUUCAAAAAUGAUAUUGAGGUUUCUAAUAUCAUUUUCUUCUAAACUGAAUAGUUUGCGCGAGAGACACUUCCAAAGUGGUAAAAUGUGUGUCCCCCCCCCUGUAACUUCUAAACUAAGAGAAUGAUAAAACUAAAAAAAAUAUAUGAUGUACAUUACCAUGCAAACUUCCACCGAAAAUUGGUUUGAACAAGAUUUGGUAAGUAGUUUUUUUUUAAUACGUCAUAAACCAACUGAAACUUAAUUUUUUUUCAUCAAACCCAUACGUGUGGGGUAUCUAUGGAUUGGUCUUCAGAAAUAAUAUUGAGGUUUCUAAUAUCAUUUUUUUCUAAACUGAAUAGUUUGCGCGAGAGACACUUCCAAAGUA